UUAUGUAAAGUCUAGCCUGCCCAGUGAUAAUUGAAUUUAACGGCCGCGGUAGCAUGACCGUGCUAAGGUAGCAUAAUCAUUUGUCCUUUAAUUGAGGACUGGUAUAAACGGCUGCACAAGAAAUUGUCUGUCUCUACUAUAAAAUUUGAAAUUCACAUUUAAGUGAAAAGGCUUAAAUGGAAUAGGGGGACGAUAAGACCCUAUAAAUCUUUACAAUUAGGGCUUUAGUUAUUAGAAAGUAGUUAUGGAUCUAAAUCUAAGGUUUAGAUUGUUUUGUUGGGGCGACAGAAGUAUAAUAAGUAACUGCUUUGGUUUUCAUAUUAAUUGUUUUUAUUAUGGUUAGUUUAAAAGAUCCUCUUUUGGAGAUCACAGACUAAGUUACUUUAGGGAUAACAGCGUAAUCUUUCUUGAGAGUUCAUAUCGAAAGAAGGGUUUGCGACCUCGAUGUUGAAUUAAAGAACCUUUAUGGUGUAGCCGCUAUAAGAGGA
rnacentral:rRNA from 1 species